rnacentral:rRNA from 1 species
CAUCGCCAGGGAACUACGAGCCAAGCUUAAAACCCAAAGGACUUGACGGUACCCCACAUCCACCUAGAGGAGCCUGUCCUAUAAUCGAUAACCCCCGCUUAACCUCACCAUUUCUAGUUAAAUCAGCCUGUAUACCUCCGUCGUCAGCUUACCUCGUGAGCGAAGUUUAGUGAGCUUAAUGUCUCUACAUCAAUACGUCAGGUCAAGGUGCAGUAAAUGAAAUGGGAAGAGAUGGGCUACACUCUCUAACCUAGAACAUACGAAAGACUAUAUAUGAAACCCUAGUCAGAAGGCGGAUUUAGCAGUAAAAAGGAACCAUAGUGUCCUUUUUAACCCGGCACUGGGGUGUGUACAC